GAUAUAGGUGCUCCUUUGCGUAAAGGGGGCUGAAAAAGGGAAGCGGGUGUGAUUCCCGCGCAAGUCCGUUGCUGUGAAUACCGAGCACAUUCCAAAAUACCACUGGGAAACUGGGAAGGGGGAGUGUUGCGCAGACGUAUGAGCCAGAAUACCUGCCUAUCGUC
rnacentral:ncRNA from 1 species